rnacentral:rRNA from 1 species
AUGGUGGUGGAGACACCUAGGGCCCAGGAGGGGGGAGCUCUCUUGCCCUCCUCUCCUGCGGCGAUUGGGGCGGACUCUGGUUGUGUCCUGAACGAAGGGGUUGGUCUGACCCCUGCUUCUGGCCGUCUUGGCUCGAGAAGGUCGGGCAGGCCGCCCAAGAAGACAUCAGGGAGGAAGCCAGCGGCCAAGGAGGUGGCGGUGCGGAAGUCGGUGCCUUCGACGAGGUUGUGUGGGGAGUUGGGCACGGAGCUGGUGGCAGCGGGGGCUGGUGCCAAGGCCAAGAGAUCCAGGGCGACCCCGAUGGAGCCGCGGGCACCCAGCUCUCGGGCCAAGGCCAAGCUGGGUGACAUGUCGUCCUUGGAUAGUGCCAAACUCCGCCUUGCUGACAAGAACUUGGGGACCUCAGAUGUGGACACUGCUGGGGAAGCACCACAAUGCUGA